rnacentral:rRNA from 1 species
GGAAUAUUGGACAAUGGGCGCAAGCCUGAUCCAGCCAUGCCGCGUGUGUGAAGAAGGCCCUCGGGUUGUAAAGCACUUUCAGCGAGGAAGAAGGCUUGUGGGUUAAUACCCCGCAAGAAGGACAUCACUCGCAGACGAAGCACCGGCUAACUCCGUGCCAGCAGCCGCGGUAAUACGGAGGGUGCGAGCGUUAAUCGGAAUUACUGGGCGUAAAGCGCGCGUAGGCGGCGUGAUAAGCCGGUUGUGAAAGCCCCGGGCUCAACCUGGGAACGGCAUCCGGAACUGUCAGGCUAGAGUGCAGGAGAGGAAGGUAGAAUUCCCGGUGUAGCGGUGAAAUGCGUAGAGAUCGGGAGGAAUACCAGUGGCGAAGGCGGCCUUCUGGACUGACACUGACGCUGAGGUGCGAAAGCGUGGGUAGCAAAC